rnacentral:lncRNA from 1 species
GGGUGCUUGGUCUCCAUGUAGUGAACCAGUGUUGAAAGUUUCAUGGCUUUAUUGGAUAGCAGAUUGCCGCAUGUUGUACAGAGAGGACUUGGAGAAUGUGAAUCACUGAUUUCAAUGAACCUUACUGGGGAUCAAACUUAGGACCUUAUGCUUGCCAGGCAGGUGUGACACCACUGAGCAACAUCUCUGGCCCUGUGUGGGCACUUUCUAAGAGGCCAUCAACCAAUACCAGUUGGAGACCCCAGGGUAGAUAACAACUUUGGUGUGCAUCAUGGUGAUAACAGAUGCCUAUGUGACUUUUCAGGGACUUGAAGCUGCUUGAGUUGAAACUACUGACUCUUCACUUGGCCCUGCACAGGUGUCAGAUGGCCUCAAAAUCACCCUCACAUCAUGGUAGUGCCACCAUUGUCUGAACAUACAUCCAGGAAGAGCCCUGGAGUUUGAUUACCAAAUGGCAUACCACAGAUUAUUUCAUUUCUAGUCACCUCUUCUGAGGCCUCAGAGCACAUUGCUUCUUUAGCCCACAAGUGUUCUAUUAGUGCUCCCAAAUCCUAUACUCUGUAAGGUAGACAUGAAACUUGAGUCUUCUGUCUCCUUGUGCAUGGCUGACUCUUGAACAGAUGGUUCUAUUUUGUGAAAUUUGUCAUUUCAGCCAUUGGCAUACUAUGCAGUAAGUGUUUGGCAAGCCAGCACAAAGGAAUGCCUAAAGCAUCUUUUGCCCAUGGUUUUUCAGCCCCUCCUGGUUUGAGAAAGUGUUCAUGAAUCCAAGCA